GAAACCAUUUUACAACUCGUAGGUUGUCAAUGUAUAGAGUGUCUCUCAAAACAAGUACUACUAGUAGUAUAUAGUGAAGAAAAUCCUUUUUGCUUUAAGCCUAGGCAAUGCACUAAUCAAGACACAAAUUGUCUAUAUGCUUAUGAAUCUAUCUAUAUUAUAAAAGCUGUUGUUUUUUUACCCUUGAAAUGACCAUUCCACCCAUGUGUAUUUGUUGUAUUUCCAGAAACACUUAUGUACAAUACCCGUAUGUAUACGUUGGUGUCAUCCACACCUUCCUUUCCCUUACCAAAGCUCCACGUGUUGCCCAUCCCUCUCUCUACGAUUCUCUCCUCCAAAAUCAUCUUACUACAUUCAAAAUUUUCAAAUUUAACUCCUUCCGCAGGUAAAGCUUCUGAUCCCAUUUUGUUUUUCGCCGCUUUUCAUUGUAAUCCAAGUGUCUCCAUUCAUUGUAUCACUUCUUCGUUUAUAUAGUUUUUCAGUUGUAAUACAUGGAUUCUUUAGAAAGAAGCCCUCUCAAGUCGUCGGCAUAGGAGUUGGGUAAUUUUUUGUAACCCAUCUCCUCUCUUCCUUUUAUAAUUUGUAUAGAUUUUGUUAUGUAUGUGUUGUUUGCUCCUGUAAUUAGUGUGGUUUGCCUAUAUCUGUUAUUAGGUCAAGAUCAGUUUGAAUUUGGCCACGUUGAUUGUAAUAGUACACUGAGCUUUGUAACUCAAGUGGAUGGUUUCUGGGAAAUCAUCCAAUACAUGUCAAACUUUCAAAAUUAAUUGUAAUUGUGGCAGUUACAGGGACCAGAAAUGACUUAACACCACCGGAGGGUCCGAGGGUCUGGAGCCCUUUCAUGUAUGAUGUAUUCAUAUCAUGCCAUGUAUGAUAUAUUGUGUUUUCUUGGUGAUGCUAGAACAAUAAUUUCAAUAUUUGUUUCUGUCGUUUAUAUUUACAGGUUUCACCGAAUUAAGCUGCUGUUAAUUUUGCAGUAACAUAUAAAAAUAAAAUUCAUGUAAAAAGUCACAGUGUAAACCACAUUCACGAAUUCAUGACAGUCCCGGACCAAAGUCAAGUUUGAGAGCGAUAAAGUAGUUAGCAAAAAGUAGUUUUGUGGUUGAGGUUUUAUGUGUUGUACACUAGUCAUUUACUUCGUAUUUAGAUUGAUUAAUUGAUAGUACUA